UGGGGAAUAUUGGACAAUGGGGGCAACCCUGAUCCAGCAAUGCCGCGUGUGUGAAGAAGGCCCUAGGGUUGUAAAAGCACUUUCAAUUGGGAAGAAAAGUUCCGGUUAAUAACCCGUGGACCAUGACGGUACCUUUAGAAGAAGCACCGGCUAACUCCGUGCCAGCAGCCGCGGUAAUACGGAGGGUGCGAGCGUUAAUCGGAAUUACUGGGCGUAAAGCAGCGCGUAGGCGGUUUGGUAAGUCAGAUGUGAAAAGCCCCGGGCUCAACCUGGGAACUGCAUUUGAUACUGCCUGACUAGAGUAUGGUAGAGGGAAGUGGAAUUCCACAUGUAGCGGUGAAAUGCGUAGAGAUGUGGAGGAACACCAGUGGCGAAGGCGGCUUCCUGGACCAAUACUGACGCUGAGGUGCGAAAAGCGUGGGG
rnacentral:rRNA from 1 species